rnacentral:rRNA from 1 species
CCUGAGAAACCCAAAAGAUCGAAUGAGGAGAUUCAUCGUCAGCGCGUUUGGUAUAUAUGCAAAUUAUGAUAUAAUAUUGUCUUUAUGGCAGUAUAUGUACGUGUUUGUAUCAUUUAAUUGCUAAAUGUUGUCGGCGUGCACUUCUCCUCUAGUAGGACGUCGCGACCCGUUGGGUAUCGAUCUACGGCCCAGAUGGUAGUCUUUGAUGUCAUUAUUAAAUAUGUUACAUUGAAGACCACUGGUGUUUCCUGAUCGGCUGCCCGGCGGUAUUCACAUGGUAUUGAGUCGCAUUUCUCUAUGCGUCAAGACUGCCACAAGCGAGAUAAAUUUUCUAGUAGUUACGGACUUAGUACCGUCACUGGAAUUUGUCAGCUGUUCGUUGUGCAGUAUUCUUUGACAGGCUCACUUUAAUAUAUUAAUUACCGGUCAGCGACGCUACUGCUUUGGGUACUUUCAGGACCCGUCUUGAAACACGGACCAAGGAGUCUAACAUGUACGCAAGUCAUUGGGAUUUAUUUUUUCUUUUUAAACCUAAAGGCAUAAUGAAAGUAAAGGUUGUCCUUGCGUCAACCGAGGGAAGAUGAGUUGCGUUACGAUGCAUCUCCGCACUCCCGGGGCGUCUCAUUCUUAUUAUAAGAAGAGGCGCACCCAG